rnacentral:rRNA from 1 species
UACGGAGGGGGCUAGCGUUGUUCGGAAUUACUGGGCGUAAAGCGCACGUAGGCGGCUUUGUAAGUUAGAGGUGAAAGCCCGGGGCUCAACCCCGGAACUGCCUUUAAGACUGCAUCGCUUGAACAUCGGAGAGGUGAGUGGAAUUCCGAGUGUAGAGGUGAAAUUCGUAGAUAUUCGGAAGAACACCAGUGGCGAAGGCGGCUCACUGGACGAUUGUUGACGCUGAGGUGCGAAAGCGUGGGGAGCAAACAGG